AAGUAGGAAAGGGCGCAUGGCGGAUGCCUUGGCUCACAGAGGCGAUGAAGGACGUGAUAAGCUGCGAUAAGCUCCGGGUAGGUGCAAAUGACCUUUGAUCCGGGGAUUUCCGAAUGGGACAACCCGGCCGUCUGAAGGACGGCCACUCCAGCAAGUGCUGGAGGGCGAACCGGGGGAACUGAAACAUCUUAGUACCCCGAGGAAGAGAAAAUAAACAAUGAUUCCCCCAGUAGUGGCGAGCGAACGGGGAAGAGCCCAAACCGUACCUGUACCCAGUGCAGGUUCGGGGUUGUAGGACCGCGACAUCGUACCGUUAGCGUGAGUGGAACACUCUGGAAAGUGUGGCCACAGCGGGUGAAAGCCCCUUACACGAAGCGCGCGCGGGCGUAGCGGUAUCCUGAGUAGUGCGGGACACGUGGAAUCCUGUAUGAAUCUGCCGGGACCAUCCGGCAAGGCUAAACACUCCUGUGAGACCGAUAGCGAACAAGUACCGUGAGGGAAAGGUGAAAAGCACUCCGACGAGGAGAGUGAAAUAGUUCCUGAAACCAUGCGCCUACAAGCGGUCGGAGCAUAUUUUAUAUGUGACGGCGUGCCUUUUGCAUAAUGAACCUACGAGUUGCCGUCACCGGCGAGGUUAAGGGAUUCAGUCCCGCAGCCGCAGUGAAAGCGAGCCUGAACAGGGCGUAUAGUCGGUGGAGGCAGACGCGAAACCAAGUGAUCUACACAUGUCCAGGGUGAAGUCCCGGUAACACGGGAUGGAGGCCCGCACCGAUAAGCGUUGAAAAGCUUCCGGAUGAGGUGUGUGUAGGAGUGAAAGGCCAAUCAAACUUGGAGAUAGCUCGUACUCCCCGAAAGGCAUUUAGGUGCCGCGUCGGAUGAUCACCGUGAGAGGUAGAGCGACCGAUAGGAUGCGAGGGCUUCACCGCCUAUCAAGUCCUGACGAACUCCGAAUGCUCACGGUCCGCAGUCCGGCAGUAAGGGGGCGGGUGCUAAGGUCCGUCCCCGAGAGGAGAAGAAUCCAGACCGCCGUCUAAGGUCCCGGAGUUCUGCCUGAGUUAGUCUAACGAAGUGUGGUCCCAGUGACAGCUAGGAUGUUGGCUUGGAAGCAGCCAUUCAUUCAAAGAGUGCGUAACAGCUCACUAGUCGAGGGUCCGCGCAUGGAUAAUAAUCGGGUAUAAGGCAGACACCGAAGGCGCGGGAUAGCAUUUGAGAAAGUAUCGGUAGGGGAGCAUUCCAUCGGCGCUGAAUGCGGAGAGCGAUUUCCGCUGGAGCCUAUGGAAAAGCAAAUGUAGGUAUAAGUAACGACUAGGGGAGUGAGAUCCUCCCCCGCCGCACGACCAAGGUUUCCCGGGCAAUGCUAAUCAUCCCGGGGUCAGUCGGGUCCUAAGCCUCAUCCGAACGGAGACGGCGAUGGCAGAAACGGUUAAUAUUCCGUUACUACCAUAAGGAGCGAUGUGGAGACGUAGGAGUGACACCACCGCGCGCUGACGGAAUAGCGCGUUGAAGGCCUUAGGCGAUGAGGAAGGCAGGCAAAUCCACCUUCCGAGCUGACGGCCGACAGUACGGCAAUGCCUUCGGGCAGCGCCGAUAGUGUGGGUAACCAUACUACCGAGAAAAUCCGCUAAGCAUAUCCUUAUGGUACCCGUACCGCAAACCGACACAGGUAGUCGGGUAGAACAUACUAAGGCGUUGAGCGAUUCAUGGUUAAGGAAUUAGGCAAACUGACCCCGUAACUUCGGGAGAAGGGGUCCUCACUUUACGGUGAGGCGCAGAGAAUAGGUCCAGGCAACUGUUUAACAAAAACACAGGGCUGUGCGAACUCGAAAGAUGAAGUAUACAGCCUGACACCUGCCCGGUGCCGGAAGGUUAAGAGGAGGCGUCACCAGCGAUGGGAAGCGUCGAGUUGAAGCCCCGGUAAACGGCGGCCGUAACUAUAACGGUCCUAAGGUAGCGAAAUUCCUUGUCGGGUAAGUUCCGACCUGCACGAAUGGUGUAAUGAUCCGGACGCUGUCUCAACCAUGAUUUCAGUGAAAUUGUAGUAUCGGUGAAGAUGCCGAUUACCCGCGAUGGGACGAAAAGACCCCGUGAACCUUUACUACAGCUUAGCGCUGACCUUGGCCAUUCGAUGUGUAGGAUAGGCCGGAGGCUUCGAAGCAUGCGCGCCAGCGUGUGUGGAGCCAUCCUUGAAAUACGGCCCUUCGGCUGUCUGAGGUCUAACCCGUGAUAUACGGGGACACCGCUUGGCGGGUAGUUUGACUGGGGUGGUCGCCUCCAAAAGCGUAACGGAGGCUUUCAAAGGUGCCCUCGGGCCGAUUGGUAACCGGCCUAACAGAGUGCAAUGGCAUAAGGGCGCUUGACUGGGAGGGAGACAUCCCGAGCAGGCAGGAAACUGGGACAUAGUGAUCCGGCGGAUGUGCAUGGAAACUCCGUCGCUCAAAGGAUAAAAGGUACUCCGGGGAUAACAGGCUGAUCCCCCCCAAGAGCUCAUAUCGACGGGGUGGUUUGGCACCUCGAUGUCGGCUCGUCACAUCCUGGGGCUGGAGAAGGUCCCAAGGGUUGGGCUGUUCGCCCAUUAAAGUGGCACGCGAGCUGGGUUCAGAACGUCGUGAGACAGUUCGGUCUCUAUCUAUCGUGGGCGUUGGAGUUUUGCGCGGGUCUGGCACUAGUACGAGAGGACCGUGUUGGACAGACCUCCGGUUUGCCGGUUGUGCCGCCAGGUGCACCGCCGGGUAUCUGAGUCUGGUCAGGAUAAGCGCUGAAAGCAUCUAAGCGCGAAGCCGUCCGCAAGAUUAGAACUCCUUUGAGGGUCGUCGCAGACUACGACGUUGAUAGGGUGCAGGUGUAAAGACGGCGACGUCAAAGCCGAGCACUACUAAUUGCCCGAACGCUUCAUCGC
rnacentral:rRNA from 1 species